AAGACCUUGCACUUUUGGAGCGGCCGAUGUCUGAUUAGCUAGUUGGUGGGGUAAUGGCCCACCAAAGCUUCGAUCAGUAGCUGGUCUGAGAGGACGGCCAGCCACACUGGGACUGAGACACGGCCCAGACUCCUACGGGAGGCAGCAGUGGGGAAUUUUGGACAAUGGGCGCAAGCCUGAUCCAGCCAUGCCGCGUGAGUGAAGAAGGCCUUCGGGUUGCAAAGCUCUUUCAGCCGGGAAGAAAAGGUUGCGACUAAUAAUCGCAAUCCAUGACGGUACCGAAAGAAGAAGCACCGGCUAACUACGUGCCAGCAGCCGCGGUAAUACGUAGGGUGCGAGCGUUAAUCGGAAUUACUGGGCGUAAAGGGUGCGCAGGCGGUUUUGUAAGUCAGAUGUGAAAUCCCCGGGCUUAACCUGGGAACU
rnacentral:rRNA from 1 species